AGUGAACGCUGGCGGUAGGCCUAACACAUGCAAGUCGAACGGCAGCACAGUAAGAGCUUGCUCUUACGGGUGGCGAGUGGCGGACGGGUGAGGAAUACAUCGGAAUCUACUUUUUCGUGGGGGAUAACGUCGGGAAACUUACGCUAAGACCGCAUACGACCUACGGGUGAAAGCAGGGGAUCUUCGGGCCUUGCGCGAUUGAAUGAGCCGAUGUCGGAUUAGGUAGUUGGCGGGGUAAAGGCGCACCAAGGCGACGAUCCGUAGCUGGUCUGAGAGGAUGAUCAGCCACACUGGAACUGAGACACGGUCCAGACUCCUACGGGAGGCAGCAGUGGGGAAUAUUGGACAAUGGGCGCAAGCCUGAUCCAGCCAUACCGCGUGGGUGAAGAAGGCCUUCGGGUUGUAAAGUCCUUUUGUUGGGAAAGAAAAGCAGCAGGUUAAUACCCGGCUGUUAUGACGGUACCCAAAGAAUAAGCACCGGCUAACUUCGUG
rnacentral:rRNA from 1 species